rnacentral:lncRNA from 1 species
AAGACAACUUCCACCCAAACUCUCUUCCUAGACCAGCUCGCAGGCCUUGUUCUUGGGUUGCAUACUCUUUCUUUAUAUUCCUUGCGAGUUGAGGACUUGAAGAAGUUUAGCGAUGAUGUAGAUGACCUUGCAGCCGUAGGUGUUGACAUGUCUCCUUUUCGUGAUAGGUUGGAUUUUCUCAAGUCGAGUUUUAAUCUUGUUUCACUACGUUCGGCGGUUGCUGUACGUAAGUGUGAAGAUGAAUCCUUUUUAGUGCAGCUUUCUGAGCUUGAUGAAGGCACAAACAAAUUGAAGAUCCAGUCUUAAGAUUUAAAGGGCCAACUUCGGGAUCUAGAGGCAAAACAUCAGGAGGUAGAGUGUCAGCGCCGGGACUUAGAGUCGACUACCCAACAGGUUAGGGAGCUGAAAGCUGCAAAUCUUAAGAUUCGAGAUGCUGCAGUUGCUGACUUGGAAGCUUUAGUUGUGCCUCCUCUUCAUUUUGAUAUGUCUUGGCCUUUAGAUCAUAAUUUAUUGCAGUAGUUUUUUUUUUUUUUCCGAUUUUCUGUUUCAGAAACUCAUUUACACAUAUUUCAUUUAUCAGAACGUGGUUUCUUUAACCUUGUUUAUUGCCUUUAAUUUGAAU